rnacentral:lncRNA from 1 species
GAUUCAGAAUCCAAGGCUACAGGAGGUAAUAAGGCCAUUGCGAGGGCCUGCCUCUCCUUCUCAGCUCUCCCCACCCCACAAUGUGUGGGUCUCCAUUCUGAGAUUUCCAUUCAGG